rnacentral:rRNA from 1 species
AGUGAACGCUGGCGGUAGGCCUAACACAUGCAAGUCGAACGGCAGCACAGUAAGAGCUUGCUCUUACGGGUGGCGAGUGGCGGACGGGUGAGGAAUACAUCGGAAUCUACUUUUUCGUGGGGGAUAACGUAGGGAAACUUACGCUAAUACCGCAUACGCCCUACGGGUGAAAGCAGGGGAUCUUCGGACCUGGCGCGAUUCAAUGAGCCGAUGUCGGAUUAGCUAGUGGGCGGGGUAAAGGCCCACCAAGGCGACGAUCCGUAGCUGGUCUGAGAGGAUGAUCAGCCACACUGGAACUGAGACACGGUCCAGACUCCUACGGGAGGCAGCAGUGGGGAAUAUUAGACAAAGGGCGCAAGCCUGAUCCAGCCAUACCGCGUGGGUGAAGAAGGCCUUCGGGUUGUAAAGCCCUUUUGUUGGGAAAGAAAAGCAGCAGGUUAAUACCCCGCUGUUCUGACGGUACCCAAAGAAUAAGCACCGGCUAACUUCGUG